rnacentral:misc_RNA from 1 species
UCCGGUUUGUCACCGGCAGUCUCCUUAGAGUUCCCGACCGUGUCGCUGGCAACUAAGGACAAGGGUUGCGCUCGUUACGGGACUUAACCCAACAUCUCACGACACGAGCUGACGACAGCCUUGCAGCACCUGUGCAUCGGCCCCGAAGGGAAGACAGCUUUCACUGCCGGUCCAAUGCAUGUCAAGCCCUGGUAAGGUUCUUCGCGUUGCGUCGAAUUAAACCACAUGCUCCACUGCUUGUGCGGAUCCCCGUCAAUUCCUUUGAGUUUUAGCCUUGCGGCCGUACUCCCCAGGCGGGGCACUUAAUGCGUUAGCUCCGGCACGGGAGGAGUCGACACCUCCCACACCUAGUGCCCAUCGUUUACGGCGUGGACUAC